rnacentral:pre_miRNA from 15 species
AAGCCAAGACAUCGGCCGCUGACAAUGGGUCAUUAUUACUUUUGGUACGCGCUGUGACACAUCAAACUCGUACCGUGAGUAAUAAUGCGCCAUUGGCAGCUUGGGCAGCAAGAAAGACA